GAUGAAGAACGUAGCGAAAUGCGAUACGUAAUGUGAAUUGCAGAAUUCAGUGAAUCAUCGAAUCUUUGAACGCAUAUUGCGCUCUCUGGUAUUCCGGAGAGCAUGCUUGUUUGAGUAUCAGUAAACACCUCAACUCCCUUUUCUUUUUUGAAAUUGGAGCUGGACUUGAGUGAUCCCAACGCUUUCUUCCAAGAAAGUGGCGGGUUGCUUGAAAUGCAGGUGCAGCUGAACUUUUCUCUGAGCUAUAAGCAUAUCUAUUUAGUCUGCCUAAAAAACAGAUUAUUACCUUUGCUGCAGCUAACAUAAAGGAGACUAGUUCUUGUGCUGACUGAUGCAGGAUUCACAGAGACAGCUUCGGCUGACUUUGUAAACUCGAUCUCAAAUCAAGUAAGACUACCCGCUGAACUUAAGCAUACCAAUAAGCGGAGGA
rnacentral:misc_RNA from 1 species